rnacentral:rRNA from 1 species
CCCAGGUUCUUUCUUCUUUUUAUGCAGUCGUACGGGGCAUUCCUAGCUUGCUAGAAGAUGACUAGUGGCGGACGGGUGAGUAAUGCUUGGGAACUUGCCUUUGCGAGGGGGAUAACAGUUGGAAACGACUGCUAAUACCGCAUAAUGUCUUCGGACCAAACGGGGCUUCGGCUCCGGCGCAAAGAGAGGCCCAAGUGAGAUUAGCUAGUUGGUAAGGUAACGGCUUACCAAGGCGACGAUCUCUAGCUGUUCUGAGAGGAAGAUCAGCCACACUGGGACUGAGACACGGCCCAGACUCCUACGGGAGGCAGCAGUGGGGAAUAUUGCACAAUGGGGGAAACCCUGAUGCAGCCAUGCCGCGUGUGUGAAGAAGGCCUUCGGGUUGUAAAGCACUUUCAGUUGUGAGGAAAAGUUAGUAGUUAAUACCUGCUAGCCGUGACGUUAACAACAGAAGAAGCACCGGCUAACUCCGUGCCAGCAGCCGCGGUAAUACGGAGGGUGCGAGCGUUAAUCGGAAUUACUGGGCGUAAAGCGCACGCAGGCGGUUUGUUAAGCUAGAUGUGAAAGCCCCGGGCUCAACCUGGGAUGGUCAUUUAGAACUGGCAGACUAGAGUCUUGGAGAGGGGAGUGGAAUUCCAGGUGUAGCGGUGAAAUGCGUA